rnacentral:lncRNA from 1 species
AGGGCACGUUUUGGCCCAGAGGGUAAAGGGAUAGGGAAUGAGGCCGCUGGGAAUAAGCACGAGAGGAAGAGGGAGAGGAGUGCCAUUCCAGAGCAGAAGGGAAAAUGAGACUAGAAAAAGGGAGAAGGGCUGGAAAGAAACAUGUGUGGGAUUCUCAUCUUACCUGGAACUCUAAUAGACACAGAAGAUAAAGGCAGAGAUGCUGUGGUCUCAAGGAGUUGCUCUCCAAAGACACGAUAGCCCAGACCUACAACAGGGCACAUCUGUGUUAAUGAAAUUGCUUUCAAGAUGACCUGAUCUGCCCACAACAUCACUGCUGGAAUAACCUUUCUCCAACUGUGCUUUCACCAUGGCACAUCGACCUUGGUUUUAGACCCUAUAAUGCCUCAUUUUUUUGUUUAUUGCAUAAAGUCCUUGGAACUUCCAAGUCCAGGGAACUUCCUUGCUUAGUUCCCAGGGCUCUGCAAAAUCUAGUUCCAAGGUAGCACUUCUCUGACCUCGCUUCCUACCAACCAGCUUACUAUUUAUUAGUAGUAUAUCUUACUAUU